ACAGACAGUAGGAAAGACAGUCUCCAAUUGUUUUGUGGAUGCAGGAGAUUAUAAGGGAAUCAUUGCUCAUAAUAUCAUCGAGCCAAGGCUUUUCUCACCAAAACUGUGUAGGUUAUGCAUCUUGAAUCAAAGUCAAGUGACCUGCAAGGACUGAAAGUUUUUACCAUCGCAAGAAACCUGAUUUCAAUCCAAUAUAUGGAGGCGGGGCCAUUGACGUAUGAGGUCCUUUAUGACCAACCUCGACAUCGAUCCGCGAAGAUUGACACUGGGGAGGCCCCGAGCAUUACUAUCGUUGAUCACACUCGUGCACGCUCGAGCUAAGAGUUGACCGAUCCACAUGUCCAAUAUUAUGUCCGUCAAGCAUGCUUCUUUGAGUGCUCACAAAUUAAAUGGGUGAGACUUGAUUAGGCUCUCUUGACGACACUGGUUGAACGAUGGAGGCCCGAGACAAACACAUUCCACCUGCGCCAAGGAGAGUCGACGAUUACAUUGCAGGAUGUUGGGGUUUUGCUUGGACUCCGAGUGGAUGGAGAUGCUGUCACAGGUAGUGGCGACUUCAACUGGUCAGACAAGUGUGGAGCAUUGUUGGGUCAAGUUCCUCACAUGAGGGGUGGAAGGAUCAAACUUGAAUGGUUGAGAAACAGUUUUAUGAAUGUUCCUAUAGAUACGACUGAGGAGAUCGUCAAGAUGUAUGCCCGUGCAUACAUACUUCACAUGAUCGGUACUAUUCUAUUCUCGGAUUCCACGAAGGAUUCGGUGCACGUGAGGUGGUUGCCACUCCUGGAGGAUCUUGUGGAUUGUGAGGGAUUGUCAUGGGGGAGUGCCGUGUUAGCGUAUCUGUAU